AGAAGUAUUACUUCACAGUUGCAUUGGCUUCCUGUGGCCGCCAAUAGAGGCAGCAUCUGGCAGAAAGCCCACCACAGAGAAGAGGGAACUCCACGGAGAAGAAAAUAGUAACGAGGCCCCAAAGGUGGAAGUACAGCCUGAGAAACUUUGCCCAGGCUGGGACUGGCUGCCCUGCCUGCUUGUCUUGCUGCUCUUGCAGGGCCUAAGGUGUGGUAUCCCCUCAGGCUUUAAAAUCCCGAUAUCUCUCCCAUGAUGGAAACACUGAAGCUCAGAGGUGAAAUAAUUGCCCCACGACCCAGAGAAGUCAAGGUUUGAAACCCCCACAUGGCCAGCCUUGAAGCCCGGACUACUGAGACCGCAGCAACUGAGUUCUCAAGUGAAUAGCAAGAAGAUGAGGGAAACAAUGGGGCUCUCCUGAAAGCCCCCGGAGGAAGCGUCUACGGAUAUCUUUUUGGCCAGACCUGGGUUGUAGACACUUCAGCUUCAAGGGGCUCUGGGGAGGUAUGUGAUCUUCCAUGGGCAGCCUGCUGCCCUAAGCCCAGCUGGAGCCCUGUUAGUGAAGAACAAGGAGAGACUGGAGACCGGAGGCCAACCAGGGCAUCUGCCACUCUACUGCCACAAAUAAGUAGAUCAGCUGGGUUCCAAGGCUCUGGCGCAGUCUCAGAAGCGCAGAUGAAAGUAAUCCAGGUUGGCCAAGAGGGCUUCAUGGGAUGCCUCUGUAGCUCAUAGACCCGUGGUUCCUGUGUGUCUGCCGUGGGAAGCUCAGUAGGUAGAAAAAGAGGCUCUUUCUCAAGGCUGGCAGAGCCCCGGGUUGGGGCCACCCCUUGGCAAAUGGGGCGCAAGCAGGAUUUCAGCUUCAGCCAGCUCCUCAACCAGAUGUCUUUGUGCAGUGCACAAAUUGCACAACUGAACACAGAAGACCUUUGUAGCUAUCAGAGUAAAUUCGAAUUACAUAUCUGGUCCCUUCCUUUGUCCAAUCAGAGAUGAAAGCAGUACUGCUCCAGGAUAGUCAGGAAACAGAGGGCAAGGAAAAAAGUAGAGGGGAGUGUCAGAGCAGAAACCUCUAAAUAGUGGAGUUGACUGUUUUGAACCCUCAGCGUCAGCUGCUCCAUCUUACUUGGCUCAUUGUAAACCCACAGUCUCAGUUGGAAAGCCAAGAGGAUAUUUAUAUAGGGUGGAUCCAACCACAAACUAUCUGAAUUACUGUUGGAGAACCUGACUCUACUGUGCUCCAUAAGACUAGAGACAAUAUUUAUUUCAUUCACUGUUGUCUCCCCAGGUCUUCACAUGGUGCUUGAUAAAUAAGUGUUCAAUAAA
rnacentral:lncRNA from 1 species